UACAGAGGUCUCAAGCGUUGUUCGGAUCAUUGGGCGUAAAGGGUGUGUAGGUGGCGCCGUAAGUCGGGUGUGAAAUUUCGGAGCUUAACUCCGAAACUGCAUUCGAUACUGCGGUGCUUGAGGACUGGAGAGGAGACUGGAAUUCAUGGUGUAGCAGUGAAAUGCGUAGAGAUCAUGAGGAAGACCAGUGGCGAAGGCGGCAUCCUGGACCGGCAUUGACGCUGAGGCGCGAAAGCCAGGGGAGCAAACGGG
rnacentral:rRNA from 1 species